GACGAACGCUGGCGGCGUGCUUAACACAUGCAAGUCGAACGGAAAGGCCCUGCUUUUGUGGGGUGCUCGAGUGGCGAACGGGUGAGUAACACGUGAGUAACCUGCCCUUGACUUUGGGAUAACUUCAGGAGACUGGGGCUAAUACCGGAUAGGAGCUCCUGCUGCAUGGUGGGGGUUGGAAAGUUUCGGCGGUUGGGGAUGGACUCGCGGCUUAUCAGCUUGUUGGUGGGGUAGUGGCUUACCAAGGCUUUGACGGGUAGCCGGCCUGAGAGGGUGACCGGCCACAUUGGGACUGAGAUACGGCCCAGACGCCUACGGGAGGCAGCAGUGGGGAAUAUUGCACAAUGGGCGGAAGCCUGAUGCAGCAACGCCGCGUGCGGGAUGACGGCCUUCGGGUUGUAAACCGCUUUCGCCUGUGACGAAGCGUGAGUGACGGUAAUGGGUAAAGAAGCACCGGCUAACUACGUG
rnacentral:rRNA from 1 species